rnacentral:rRNA from 1 species
AUUGAACGCUGGCGGCAGGCCUAACACAUGCAAGUCGAGCGGAGCGGCGGACGGGUGAGUAAUGCCAAGGACUCUGCCAGGGCGCGAGGGAUGACGUCAGGAAACGGGAGCUAAUACUGCAUACUAUCAGAUGAGCCUGGGGCGGAUUAGCUAGUUGGUGGGGUAAAGGCAUACCCAGACGACGAUCCGUAGCUGGUCCGAGAGGAUGAUCAGUCACACUGGAACUGAGACACGGUCCAGACUCCUACGGGAGGCAGCAGUGGGGAAUAUUGGACAAUGGGCGAAAGCCUGAUACAGCCAUGCCGCGUGUGUGAAGAAGGUCUUCGGAUUGUAAAGUACUUUAAGUGGGGAGGCGUUACCCGCAGAAGAAGCACCGGCUAACUCCGUGCCAGCAGCCGCGGUAAUAC